rnacentral:rRNA from 1 species
ACGAACGCUGGCGGCGUGCCUAAUACAUGCAAGUAGAACGCUGAAGAGAGGAUCUUGCUCUUCUUGGAUGAGUUGCGAACGGGUGAGUAACGCGUAGGUAACCUGCCUUGUAGCGGGGGAUAACUAUUGGAAACGAUAGCUAAUACCGCAUAACAAUGGAUGACCCAUGUCAUUUAUUUGAAAGGGGCAAAUGCUCCACUACAAGAUGGACCUGCGUUGUAUUAGCUAGUAGGUGAGGUAACGGCUCACCUAGGCGACGAUACAUAGCCGACCUGAGAGGGUGAUCGGCCACACUGGGACUGAGACACGGCCCAGACUCCUACGGGAGGCAGCAGUAGGGAAUCUUCGGCAAUGGGGGCAACCCUGACCGAGCAACGCCGCGUGAGUGAAGAAGGUUUUCGGAUCGUAAAGCUCUGUUGUAAGUCAAGAACGAGUGUGAGAGUGGAAAGUUCACACUGUGACGGUAGCUUACCAGAAAGGGACGGCUAACUACGUG